UGUGGUUUUCCUUGCUAGCUCCUGAUGUGGAGCAGUAGGGGUAAGGAUGAGGCCAGUGAUGCCCUGUGUUGGGGGGCGUGGGGGUGGGGGGAGGCGUAUGUGUGUGUGGGUGCGUGCGUGCAUGCAGGAAACAGUGAUAACGGAGUUCUUCGAGGACUGCAAAGGAUGACUUUUUUUUUUAAUUAUUUUUUUUAGACCUCUAUGUCAACCAGCAUCUGCAGCAUUUGGAUUGGCUGCCUGAGGAGACUUCUUAAUUCCUGGUGCACUUCGGGCUCCUUGGCCUGGGCCUUCGCAUUCCUUCUCCAUGCUGUCUGCCAUGUUGAACCACUAAGCCGUUUUGUGGUCCUGCUGCAGCAUGGUCUUGCAGGCUCUUUCUGAACAGGUUCCCCUCCUCAGCAGGGUCAGGCAUUCUGGGUAUGUGGAAAAAGCACCUCUCAAGGCUGCCAUGCUAGAAGCUGCUGAUUAAAAACAGACAGAUGCACCAUUGAAUUUACAGUCUCAAGAGAAAGCAAGGGCCUGAUUCUGUCUUCUCUGAAAUCAAAGUCAGAUCAUCCUGAUCCACAGAUUCCUUUGACGUCAUUUCGGAUGCAAUCAAGCGUAUGGGACCAAGGAU